rnacentral:rRNA from 1 species
AGCGAACGCUGGCGGCAGGCCUAACACAUGCAAGUCGAACGAACUCUUCGGAGUUAGUGGCGGACGGGUGAGUAACACGUGGGAACGUGCCUUUAGGUUCGGAAUAACUCAGGGAAACUUGUGCUAAUACCGAAUGUGCCCUUCGGGGGACAGAUUUAUCGCCUUUAGAGCGGCCCGCGUCUGAUUAGCUAGUUGGUGAGGUAAAGGCUCACCAAGGCGACGAUCAGUAGCUGGUCUGAGAGGAUGAUCAGCCACAUUGGGACUGAGACACGGCCCAAACUCCUACGGGAGGCAGCAGUGGGGAAUCUUGCGCAAUGGGCGAAAGCCUGACGCAGCCAUGCCGCGUGAAUGAUGAAGGUCUUAGGAUUGUAAAAUUCUUUCACCGGGGACGAUAAUGACGGUACCCGGAAAAGAAGCCCCGGCUAACUUCGUGCCAGCAGCCGCCGUAA